AUGGAGCAACGCCGCGUGAGUGAAGAAGGGUUUCGGCUCGUAAAGCUCUGUUGUUAAAGAAGAACGUGGGUGAGAGUAACUGUUCACCCAGUGACGGUAUUUAACCAGAAAGCCACGGCUAACUACGUGCCAGCAGCCGCGGUAAUACGUAGGUGGCAAGCGUUAUCCGGAUUUAUUGGGCGUAAAGCGAGCGCAGGCGGUCUUUUAAGUCUAAUGUGAAAGCCUUCGGCUCAACCGAAGAAGUGCAUUGGAAACUGGGAGACUUGAGUGCAGAAGAGGACAGUGGAACUCCAUGUGUAGCGGUGAAAUGCGUAGAUAUAUGGAAGAACACCAGUGGCGAAGGCGGCUGUCUGGUCUGUAACUGACGCUGAGGCUCGAAAGCAUGGGUAGCGAACAGGAUUAGAUACCCUGGUAGUCCAUGCCGUAAACGAUGAUUACUAAGUGUUGGAGGGUUUCCGCCCUUCAGUGCUGCAGCUAACGCAUUAAGUAAUCCGCCUGGGGAGUACGACCGCAAGGUUGAAACUCAAAAGAAUUGACGGGGGCCCGCACAAGCGGUGGAGCAUGUGGUUUAAUUCGAAGCUACGCGAAGAACCUUACCAGGUCUUGACAUCUUCUGCCAACCUAAGAGAUUAGGCGUUCCCUUCGGGGACAGAAUGACAGGUGGUGCAUGGUUGUCGUCAGCUCGUGUCGUGAGAUGUUGGGUUAAGUCCCGCAACGAGCGCAACCCUUAUUACUAGUUGCCAGCAUUCAGUUGGGCACUCUAGUGAGACUGCCGGUGACAAACCGGAGGAAGGUGGGGACGACGUCAAAUCAUCAUGCCCCUUAUGACCUGGGCUACACACGUGCUACAAUGGAUGGUACAACGAGUCGCGAAACCGCGAGGUUUAGCUAAUCUCUUAAAACCAUUCUCAGUUCGGACUGUAGGCUGCAACUCGCCUACACGAAGUCGGAAUCGCUAGUAAUCGCGGAUCAGCAUGCCGCGGUGAAUACGUUCCCGGGCCUUGUACACACCGCCCGUCACACCAUGAGAGUUUGUAACA
rnacentral:rRNA from 1 species